rnacentral:rRNA from 1 species
UGGGGAAUAUUGGACAAUGGGCGGAAGCCUGAUCCAGCCAUGCCGCGUGUGUGAAGAAGGCCUUUUGGUUGUAAAGCACUUUAAGCGAGGAGGAGGCUACUUGGAUUAAUACUCUAGGAUAGUGGACGUUACUCGCAGAAUAAGCACCGGCUAACUCUGUGCCAGCAGCCGCGGUAAUACAGAGGGUGCGAGCGUUAAUCGGAUUUACUGGGCGUAAAGCGUGCGUAGGCGGCUUCUUAAGUCGGAUGUGAAAUCCCUGAGCUUAACUUAGGAAUUGCAUUCGAUACUGGGAAGCUAGAGUAUGGGAGAAGAUGGUAGAAUUCCAGGUGUAGCGGUGACAUGCGUAGAGAUCUGGAGGAAUACCGAUGGCGAAGGCAGCCAUCUGGCCUAAUACUGACGCUGAGGUACGAAAGCAUGGGGAGCAAACAGG